rnacentral:rRNA from 1 species
GUAUAAGAGACAGCAGUAGCCACGGGAAUACAGAGGGUGCGAGCGUUAAUCGGAUUUACUGGGCGUAAAGCGUGCGUAGGCGGCUUCUUAAGUCGGAUGUGAAAUCCCUGAGCUUAACUUAGGAAUUGCAUUCGAUACUGGGAAGCUAGAGUAUGGGAGAGGAUGGUAGAAUUCCAGGUGUAGCGGUGAAAUGCGUAGAGAUCUGGAGGAAUACCGAUGGCGAAGGCAGCCAUCUGGCCUAAUACUGACGCUGAGGUACGAAAGCAUGGGGAGCAAACAGGAUUAGAUACCCCAGUAGUCCCUGUCUCUUAUAC